rnacentral:lncRNA from 1 species
GCUCAGCCUGGCCUUCCUGCUCCAGAAUGAAAUGAACAGCACUCGUCUGAACUCCACAUCAUGGCGUGGGCCCACGCUCCUCCGUCUGGAAAGGGCAGCCCACACCAGAAUAAUUUUAUGGUUGGAGGUCGCUAUGGCCAACAUGAAGAACAUUGGAGGAUUGAGAACCACUGGUCUAAUGCCUUCUCAAAAGAAGCACAGCGCUUCUCCUCGGAGCCUUCUAUAGUCCUCACUCUGGAUGGCCGAGGUUGACAGACUCGCAGCUUUUGAAGCAGUACCACAGUGUGUAACAACUGCUAGAGAAGGAGGUGAGAUACUGUCACACAGUUAGAGAGGACACCACCUUCCCAGCUAGAUGGUGUCCCUACAAAGAGCUAUUUUGCUUCCAGAUUAUAAAUUUACAGGAAGCAACCAGUCGCAAUCCACCCUUCGGGAAGGGACGAAGCUUCAUGUGCAAGAACAAAGGGACGCCCGCCCAUCACGCUGAUGGGCAGACAGGGUGAAUACAGCUUGAGCAACCAUGGCACCUGCACGAGAAACACAAGAAGACAAUAGUCUCUGUGGACAAUGUCACAGUAGGUGCCGAAUCAACUCUAUUUUUUACACCAAAUAGGAAAGAAAGAGUUUGCAUUACACAAAUUUUAACAUGCUCAGCAGUGCGAUGCCACCUCAGGAAGGACACGCUGUUGUCCCGGAAUUAGGACGGAAGCUCUCUGCCUGACUUGUCAAUUCUAAACUCCUCCCUCUGGUUCACUAUCUACCUGAAUCCUUAGAGACUUAAAUGUAGGUUCAUAAAACUUCUGAAAGCCUUAAAAGUCUAUGGAUGCCACAAAGUCCCAAUGAUUUGUCCAUUUCAGCUGCUAAUCCCCGUGCCUUUAAAAACACAUGUUUAACAAUUACUGGUUAAGAAACAGUAACAGCUGAAAGCUAAAACAUUAUGUUCCAAACUAUAAUAUGAAUCAUUUCUAAGCCUUUUAAGAUCAAGUAUAAACUAUAAUAUG